UUCCUACGGGGGGCAGCAGUGGGGGAUAUUGCACAAUGGGGGGAACCCUGAUGCAGCGACGCCGCGUGGGUGAAGGAGCGUUUCGGCGCGUAAAGCCCUAUCGGCAGGGAAGAAGAUGACGGUACCUGACCAAGAAGCCCCGGCUAACUACGUGCCAGCAGCCGCGGUAAUACGUAGGUGGCAAGCGUUGUCCGGAUUUAUUGGGCGUAAAGCGAGUGCAGGCGGGUCAAAAAGGCU
rnacentral:rRNA from 1 species